UCGAAAAACUUUUGUGGUCACUUGUGGU
rnacentral:piRNA from 1 species